rnacentral:tRNA from 1 species
CGGGGUGUAGCGCAGCUUGGUCAGCGUGCUUGACUGGGGGUCAAGAGGUCCGGAGUUCAAAUCUCCGCACUCCGACCA